rnacentral:rRNA from 1 species
GUUKCUGUCGUGGUCAUCCGGUACCGCCCGUAUGGGUGUGCACCUGGUUUGCCCUCGGCUUUCUUCCGGUAGCCUUCCGCGCUUAACUGCGUGUGUUGGUGUUCCGGAACUUUUACUUUGAGAAAAAUAGAGUGUUUCAAGCAGGCUUGUCGCCCUGAAUACUUCAGCAUGGAAUAAUAAGAUAGGACCUCGGUUCUAUUUUGUUGGUUUCUAGGACCAAGGUAAUGAUUAAUAGGGACAGUUGGGGGCAUUCGUAUUUAACUGUCAGAGGUGAAAUUCUUAGAUUUGUUAAAGACGAACUACUGCGAAAGCAUUUGCCAAGGAUGUUUUCAUUAAUCAAGAACGACAGUAGGGGSUUUGAAGACGAUUAGAUACCGUCGUAAUCUCUACCAUAAACUAUGCCGACUAGAGAUAGGGAAAUGCCUACCUUGGCUUCUCCUGCACCUUAUGAGAAAUCAAAGUCUCUGGGUUCUGGGGGGAGUAUGGUCGCAAGGCUGAAACUUAAAGGAAUUGACGGAGGGACACAGAACGCAAGGAAGUUUGAGGCAAUAACAGGUCUGUGAUGCCCUUAGAUGUUCUGGGCUGCACGCGCGCUACACUGAUGCACUCAACGAGUUUUUGACCUUGGCCGGCAGGUCUAGGUAAUCUUUUGAGUAUGCAUCGUGAUGGGGAUAGAUUAUUGCAAUUAUUAAUCUUCAACGAGGAAUGCCUAGUAGGCGCAAGUCAGCAGCUUGCGCCGAUUACGUCCCUGCCCUUUGUACU